GCUGGGUGUGGUGGCUCACACCUGUAAUCCCAGCACUUUGGGAGGCCGAGGCAGGUGGAUCACCUGAGGUCAGGAGUUCAAGACCAGCCUGGCCAACAUGGUGAAACCCUGUCUCUA
rfam:Homo sapiens chromosome 13, GRCh38 reference primary assembly.